UGGGUUCUGGGAAGCCCGGGUCUCACAGGAAGCUGGGUUUGUUUCCACCACCGGCUGAACAAAGGAGAAGGUCCAGUCUCAGUCUCGGUCUUGUGCCUUGCCUCAGGUGAAAUGACACCGAGAGCAGAUGGAAUUCCCCACAAAACCUGCGGACGCAGACAGACUUGAAACGCAGCCCUGAUACUUGAUGCAGGCUUUCUGAAGGCAAAGCGCUGUUUCUGGGCCAGCCCUCAUAGAGCCCAUCUCUCUCUCUCUAACGCCUCUGUGACACAAGAGGAGCCAAUCACUGUGUAAACAGACUGCUCCUGCUUACUUGCUUACUCUAAGUACCAUGGUUUCCUCCAGACUCUAGUGGUCCUGUGAAACAUUCAGUGUCAUCUCCAGACAUCACCAAUUACCUCUCCGAGAUCAGCCUGCUCUUUGAUGGAGGGCACACGUCCUUCCUGUACUUCAGUAAUGAUGAGGAAUCAACAGUGUCCUCUUCGAGACAAUGUGGGGAAGUGCUGUAAAAGGCCAUCGAGAUGUUAUGGUAUAGAGAGAAAAGGACAGA